GGUGCUGGAUUUAAGCUGCGAGCUGGAUCGGCCGCCAUUGCCUACUGCCUGCCUUGCUGCCAGCACGGCAGAGAUACGGGGACUUAACAUAUUGGGAUAACUUGCUACCUGGAUGUUGUAGCAGAGAUGCAGUCCCGCAGUUCCAUGGUCGUGGCUCUCUGGCUGGCGGUACUGUGCUGUGACGUCAGUGCUUUCUCCAUCAGGCGUCGCGAGUCGCCCAGCACGGAUCUUUCCGAGGCCUUCCGAGUGUUAGAGCGUCAGCGGCGGCGGAUCCGAGAGGAGGAUUAUCUGGCGGCCUCGCGGUUGCCCGAGCCCCGGGUACAGCUCUCACCCUCAGAUCUAGAAGACUGGGGUCAGGGGGUACCAAGCAGGGAGGAAGAGUGGUUGCAAGAUGCUUAUGGUUUAUCGCCUUAUGAUGAGGACUCGUAUGCAGUGCCCGAACUUGUGGACGAAUCCAAUCAGUCGAAUGAAGGUCCUAUACCUGAGAAAGUUGAAACAUCUCAAGAGGAGUUACAAAGUAUAUUUGGAGACUCGGACAAGGAUGCUGAGGAGGAGGAUUCAGUAGAUGAAGAACAAGACAAUGGAAAAGAAGUUACCGAAACAUCUGAAAGUGAAGUAAAAGGAAACGAAUUAGAUAACCUUACUGAAGACGAGUUCAAAGCGUUAAUGAGCGCAGUAGAAAAAUUACAAAAAAGAGCUUUGAGUAAAAAGGACAUCAAAAACAGUGCAGUUAAAGUCACCACCACAGAUCCGGUCCCUGUAAGUAAAGAGGAGUUGAGUGAAGUGUUUGAUGACUCGGAGGAUGACAAUCAACCUGAUUCUGAUGCUGUCGUACAUGAAGUUUCAGACGUUGCCAUUGGAGAGCCUACUCCAUCCAAGGAAGAAAGGCUUCAGGAGGCAAAUGACCAGGUAGCAAACGAAGAGGUUUUAGGCGAAAAGGAUCCGUUGACUUCUAUAGAGAACUACUGGUUGCUGAAGGAUUACUUUAACGGCGACGAGAAACGAAAGAAGAGAUUUACAAAACGGGCACCUGUAGCCAAACCCCCAAAUUCAGUUCCUCUUGAGGAAACAUACAUGAAGGAGAUCCAGACGCUCCGGGAUGAGAUCCAGCAGUUGAAGAUGGUUUCAGAGCUGGAGGAUUUGGAAAAUGAUGCCUUGACCCAGACACUGAAUGAAGCCACCCUGUCGCAGAUGGAAGGCACAGUGUCAGACAAGGAGUUUGGUUCUCUGGAACAGGCCAUUAAGCUUGAGGAAGCUCUUCAGGAUCUCAAAAACGGCAAGGUUGAUCCUCUGAUCGUGGAGCUGAUUGCUGCUAAUGCCUUAGGGGGAAAUGUAGGGGAGAAGCGUGGAGAACCGGUGUGGAAGAAGAAGAAGAGGAUGGAUGAAGCGGAUCUGGAACAGAGUUACCCAAUGUUUCCUAGUGACAAGAGAGCGGCCAAGAGGAUGUUGAUGUUGCCUAGUAACAAGAGGUCACCCAAGCGUGUGCAGGAGGAGGAGGUGAACCGCUGGUAUGACCGACCAAUCGAAGAGGAGGAGGAGGCGGAGGAAGAACAGCGCUAUCUUGAUGCCCAGGACGCGAUCGAUGCCAUGGUAGGACGGCUGGCAGAGUCGGAACAGAACGACUUCACCGACGAUGACAUUGAGAGUCAAGACAACUACAACAGGAUGGCAAUGGCGCCUUACUACAAGAACACGGACAAGAGAGUAGCAAGCUACCAAGACAGCACCCCGCCCAACUCAGGUGUGUGUCCCUCUGACGAGCUGCUGACCAACUGCAAGUUUGCCGACCUGCAGGGCCUGCCUAUCGACGACGAGGCAAGGGAGCUGUGUAACAGACAUGAGAUGUGUUAUACUUGCGGCGCCACUACCCACGUGAAGCAGGGCGAGUGUGACAGCCUCUACCGGGCCGAUGCUGAAGCCUUAUGUGACGAUGAUGGCGACUGUGUGAUAGAGGCCGAACUAUUCCUCCGGGAACUCAAGUUAAAACACCGUUACAGCACGUAUUACGAACCAGCUUGCGACAAUUCCUGCACAGCGGAAUAUAUUGGUCUCUAGAGGGCUCUGCAGAGUUACCUACCCUGUCUCCCAGAGACGGGAGUGUUUACAACUGAUUGGCCGAAACAAACGUUUGCCCGACCAACCGGUGACGAGAAGCAAUUUGCGGAUAUCAUAGGAUAUGACUGAUUGUUGAAAGGAUCGUAUAAAACUGACAGGCUUGAGAAGGUGACGAAGGACAAAGAAUUUAACCCAUCAGCAAGAUUGGACGUCCCGCCGUGUGGUGGCAAUAGACGGAGUGAUAUGAAUAUAUUAGCCGUAGUUUUGUAACACACGGUGGGUUCAAAACCAUUUUACAUCACGACAACCAGAAAUCACUCAUUGGUGUGUUCGUUUAAUCAUUAGGUGUCUUUCUAAAGCAAAGUGUAGAAGGUCCUGGUUUGUGUUCAAAUUGAGUUUGGUGGUAGACUGUUUGGUGCUAGCUACAGCGUUGGGUUAACGAUAGAAUACUUAAAGAUAUAUUUAUUUUAACAGAGAUGAUUUUGCAAGCUAAACGUUUUCAUUAUAAUGUUGAUAGACAAUUCUCACAUUAGAUGUCGUUUCGUAGUCUUGUUUAUACUGGUUUCUGAUGUCGUACAUAUUUGAAAUAAUUACGUUUAUUAUAUACGUGUCAGGUAUUUGUCGUAACAUGGGUUUCAAGUACGUAACAAGCUUUCAGUUACAUUGUCACAGUUACUCUGCAUUUAAUUAUCAAGAACAUGAUUUCCAUACGCUUGGGCUUACAGUUAUGUUCAUAUAGACAAUCAAUUGCAUGUCUUGUCAGUAUCUAUUUUAAGGUCGAGAAUAAUUAUUUAUCGUAUGGCGUUGUUGUACUUAACUGUAAAAUGCUGAGAUUGUUUUGACAUUUGCAACUUAAAUCUAAUCGCGCCAUGAACUCCUUUGUAAAAUUAAUUCCAAGGCUAUUGAAAUGUUACAUAUUUGGCCCGAAAGCACCAUUGGGAAAUUAGACAAAAUUAGAACGUGGUCAUUUCAUAAUUUAGACUUAAUUCACUCGCAAGUCACACGGACAUUAGGUUAAUCAGAUGCGCUGACUAUGUAAUACAUUAAUGUAAAACACAUGCACAAUGCGGCAAUGGUUACCUUCAACCAGAAUGGUGUUCUGAAUAGUUCACAUACAUGAUACUUCUGUUUUCAAAACACUGCAAGGAAAAAACAAUGUACAGCUGUUUACAGACAGGGUGUUUCUGUCAUCUACACCCACCAGUGAAGCACAAUGUACAGUUGUUUACAGGCAGGGUGUUUCUGUCAUCUACACCCACCAUGGAAACCCAAUGUACAGGUGUUUACAGGCAUGGUACCUCUGCCAUCUAAACACAUGGAAACCCAAUGUACAGCUGUUUACAGGCAGGGUGUUUCUGUCAUCUAAACACAGGGAAACCCACUGUACAGCUGUUUACAGGCAGGGUACCUCUGGCAUCUAAACACAAGGAAACUCAAUGUACAGCUGUUUACAGGCAGGGUACCCCUGGCAUCUAAACACAAGGAAACCCAUUGUACAGCUGUUUGCAGGCAGCGUAGCUCUGGCAUCUAAACACAAGGAAACUCAAUGUACAGCUGUUUACAGGCAGGGUACCUCUGUCAUCUAAACCCAUCAAGGAACCGAACGUACAUCUGUUUACAGGCAGGGUAUGUCUGUUAUCUAAACACAAGGAAACCCAAUGUACAGCUGUUUACAGACAGGGUACCUCUGUCAUCUAAACACAGGGAAACCCACUGUACAGUUGUUUACAGGCAGGGUACCUCUGGCAUCUAAACACAAGGAAACUCAAUGUACAGCUGUUUACAGGCAGGGUACCCCUGGCAUCUAAACACAAGGAAACCCAAUGUACAGCUGUUUACAGGCAGGGUGUCUCUGUCAUCUAAACCCACCAAGUAACCCAACGUACAUCUGUUUACAGGCAGGGUACGUCUGUUAUCUAAACACAAGGAAACUCAAUGUACAUCUGUUUACAGGCAGGGUAGCUCUGGCAUCUAAACACAAGGAAACUCAAUGUACAGCUGUUUACAGGCAGGGUACCUCUGUCAUCUAAACCCACCAAGUAACCCAACGUACAUCUGUUUACAGGCAGGGUACGUCUGUUAUCUAAACACAAGGAAACCCAAUGUACAGCUGUUUACAGGCAGGUUAUUUCUGUCAUCUAAACCCACCAAGGAAACCCAAUGUACAGCUGUUUACAGGCAGGUUAUUUCUGUCAUCUAAACACAAGGAAACCCACGGUACAACUGUUUACAGGCCGAGUGUCUCUGUCCUCCAAACACACACACGAAGCACAGUAUACAGGUGGUUACAUAUAUCCUGUAUCUUUCAUCUAAACACACCCAGAGAUUUCUCGAAACUCCGAUCAAUCAUUCCUGAUAUUGACACCCGAAAUCUCAUAGUACAGAUGUUUCUUGAAAAAAACUCAUCUACAUAGCUAUGUCCACUACAUUUUGAGGAAUGCAUCGACAAAUAUCAUGGACGAUAUUGGUGACACUUUGACCUAUCUGGUCUUCACUGGAACUUGUUAAUCCGUGGUGCCAUACCGGAAUCUGAUCCUGAUUAUUCUGAAUAUUGGAACCAGUGUGCAAUCCGAAUUCCGUAUAUAAACCCACCGAAACUGUAAGUUAAGUUAUAAAAAAAUAUUGUUUCUGGAAAGAACAAUAGCUAAUUCCAAGAAAACUUUCUGAUAUGUGUCAGGUACUUGCACCAUCAAUGGUGGCGCCAAGUACGUAAAGGUGUUCACAUUUACUGUUAUGAUGGGGUUUUCCGUUAUGUUUUGUUUAAGGAAUUGAUAUAUCUGUGUAGACGGGGAGUAGUUACCGUAUCGCUUUUACCAUUGUCCAGCUGUGGCCUAUACUUCAACCCAAACGCUCCUGGUAUUCUUCAAUGUUGAUUGUUGAUCUUGUUUCUUUCUGCAAAGUUUGCUGUCUAUCAAUCAAAUAACAUCUGUAAAUUAUUGUUGAAAAUAAAUGACUGUGAUAAAC
rnacentral:misc_RNA from 1 species